UACGUAGGGGGCGAGCGUUGUCCGGAGUUACUGGGCGUAAAGCGCACGCAGGCGGUCUGUUAAGUUUGGAGUGACAGUUGGUGGCUUAACUGCCAAAGUGCUUCGAAAACUGACAGACUUGAGGGCUUCAGAGGGACACGGAAUUCCGGGUGGAGUGGUGAAAUGCGUAGAGAUCCGGAGGAACACCAAAGGCGAAGGCAGUGUCCUGGGGAGUACCUGACGCUC
rnacentral:rRNA from 1 species